UGACAUCGUAAUUUGUUGCUCUUGCUCUGUUCGUUCAUUUGGAGGAUGUGUUAUAUAUUUUCCCUUCUUAUUAUUAAAUUAAAUCAUGUAAAUAAAACCUUCAUAAAUCAAUUAAAUUUUCAUACAUUAUUUACACAUCUACACCAUAUUUCAUUAUAUUUUUAAAGAACAAGAUAUUUUCCUCUAUUGUCCUUUUUCCUUUACACAAAGUGUUUCUUUUUCCUUUCUCUGGGAUACAUGAUGUAAGAUUACAACCUAG
rnacentral:lncRNA from 1 species